rnacentral:rRNA from 1 species
UGAGGAAUAUUGGUCAAUGGGAGAGAUCCUGAACCAGCCAAGCCGCGUGAGGGAAGACGGCACUACGUGUUGUAAACCUCUUUUGCCGGGGAACAAAAGCGGGGACGCGUCCCCGUCCGCGUGUACCCGGAGAAAAAGCAUCGGCUAACUCCGUGCC